rnacentral:misc_RNA from 1 species
CUAUCUUACCCCCUCUCUUACUCUAGCCCCAGCUUCCUCACUAACCUUACCUCCGCUCCUUUUAUUGCUUCUAGUCCCUUAGGUUCCCCCUACUCCUCAUCUUGAACUCCUCUCUGUAAAGUCCACUAUCUCCUAUGGACAUAAGCACCUCUUUCCAUAUGUACCCAUAUGUGUGUUAGGGUGUUUACAACCUAUGGCUCAAAUCUCCCAUCAAGGUCAUGGGGUGCUCAAUCCUAGGGUCUACCCCCUCAACUGUCAGGAUACAAAAAAUCAGACACUCAUAAGGUAAAAGGAACAUAGAGCAGCUGAGUAUGGUUCCCUAAAGAUGCAUUGGGACUAGCUCCGGGUAUAUCAUAGGUAUACCCUUGUACAUUAAAUUUUGAUGUAUUCAUGUAAUAAUACGUAUAAAAUUUUCUUUGAGCAGUUGUACAAGAACUUU